GAUGAACGCUAGCGGCAGGCUUAAUACAUGCAAGUCGAGGGACAGCACAGGUAGCAAUACUGGGUGGUAACCGGCAAACGGGUGCGGAACACGUACACAACCUUCCUUUAAGUGGGGGAUAGCCCAGAGAAAUUUGGAUUAAUACCCCGUAAUAUAGUUGAAUGGCAUCAUUUGAUUAUUAUAGCUACGGCGCUUAAUGAUGGGUGUGCGGCUGAUUAGAUAGUUGGUGGGGUAACGGCCCACCAAGUCUACGAUCAGUAGCUGAUGUGAGAGCAUGAUCAGCCACACGGGCACUGAGACACGGGCCCGACUCCUACGGGAGGAAGCAGUAAGGAAUAUUGGUCAAUGGACGCAAGUCUGAACCAGCCAUGCCGCGUGAAGGAUUAAGGUCCUCUGGAUUGUAAACUUCUUUUAUUUGGGACGAAAAAGGGCCUUUCUAGGUCAACUGACGGUACCAGAUGAAUAAGCACCGGCUAACUCCGUGCCAGCCGCCGCCGUAAAAC
rnacentral:rRNA from 1 species